UUAUUGGGGUAGCCCCCAAAAUAUUGGGACAUAUAAAAAAAAGACAACUCUGUUCCGCAGAGUAGCUGUUGACAUUAUAGUUGUGCAGGCACUUUGUUGACUCUAGAGAACCUCAGUCCAAUCUCACAACCCUGUGGUGGCGACUUUGCAUGCGGAUGUCAUCCAUAUCAACUUUCGAUGCCAGUUUCUGCGCCUACCAUGGUGACCACGGGUAACGGGGAAUCAGGGUUCCAUUCCGUACAGUGACCCGGAGAAAUGGCUACCAAAUGCAAGGAAGGCAGCAGGCGCGCAAAUGACCCACUCCCGACGCGGGAAGGUAGUGACGA